ACUUUCUCAAAUACUUAUCUUGAAAAUAAGUUUUAGAUAACUCUAGAAAGUU
rnacentral:tRNA from 1 species